rnacentral:rRNA from 1 species
UACGUAGGGCGCAAGCGUUGUCCGGAAUUAUUGGGCGUAAAGAGCUCGUAGGCGGCUUGUCACGUCGGGUGUGAAAGCCUGGGGCUUAACCCCGGGUCUGCAUUCGAUACGGGCUGGCUGGAGUGUGGUAGGGGAGAUCGGAAUUCCUGGUGUAGCGGUGAAAUGCGCAGAUAUCAGGAGGAACACCGGUGGCGAAGGCGGAUCUCUGGGCCAUUACUGACGCUGAGGAGCGAAAGCGUGGGGAGCGAACAGG